CCUACGGGUGGCAGCAGUGGGGAAUAUUGGACAAUGGGGGGAACCCUGAUCCAGCCAUGCCGCGUGUGUGAAGAAGGCCCUCGGGGUGUAAAGCACUUUCAGUGAGGAAGAACGCCUGGUGGUUAAUACCCAUCAGGAAAGACAUCACUCACAGAAGAAGCACCGGCUAACUCCGUGCCAGCAGCCGCGGUAAUACGGAGGGUGCGAGCGGUAAUCGGAAUUACUGGGCGUAAAGCGCGCGUAGGUGGCUUGAUAAGCCGGUUGUGAAAGCCCCGGGCUCAACCUGGGAACGGCAUCCGGAACUGUCAAGCUAGAGUGCAGGAGAGGAAGGUAGAAUUCCCGGUGUAGCGGUGAAAUGCGUAGAGAUCGGGAGGAAUACCAGUGGCGAAGGCGGCCUUCUGGACUGACACUGACACUGAGGUGCGAAAGCGUGGGUAGCAAACAGGAUUAGAUACCCGUGUAGUC
rnacentral:rRNA from 1 species